rnacentral:pre_miRNA from 1 species
UGGACAGAUUAUUGUAUUCGACUGUAUUCAUGGCGUGAAAUAGGGGAUUACACUAUUUUUAAAACGGAAAGUGAAUCAAUUAACAUAAUAGACUCCG